AACGCGAAGAACCUUACCUACUCUUGACAUCCAGAGAAUUCGCUAGAGAUAGCUUAGUGCCUUCGGGAACUCUGAGACAGGUGCUGCAUGGCUGUCGUCAGCUCGUGUUGUGAAAUGUUGGGUUAAGUCCCGCAACGAGCGCAACCCUUAUCCUUUGUUGCCAGCACGUCAUGGUGGGAACUCAAAGGAGACUGCCGGUGAUAAACCGGAGGAAGGUGGGGAUGACGUCAAGUCAUCAUGGCCCUUACGAGUAGGGCUACACACGUGCUACAAUGGCAUAUACAAAGAGAAGCGAACUCGCGAGAGCAAGCGGACCUCAUAAAGUAUGUCGUAGUCCGGAUUGGAGUCUGCAACUCGACUCCAUGAAGUCGGAAUCGCUAGUAAUCGUAGAUCAGAAUGCUACGGUGAAUACGUUCCCGGGCCUUGUA
rnacentral:rRNA from 1 species